AUGAAGUUCGGGGAUCCUAAGUACGCCCUUCUGGAUCAAUUAUGGAGUUCUGCGGACGCGUACCAGGAUUUGGCAGCGAGUGCUGCUGACGCGACCAAGUUUUUUGAAGAUCAAAAAGAUCACGAAGUGGAAAAGUUGUUCUGGUCGCAGUUCCAUGCUCCAGCGUGUCCGCUGCUGUUGAAUGAGCAAAUGGCCGAGUGGGCCGAGCUCCAUAGGUUGUCCGGGCUUGCCAUGAGGUCUAUCGUGGAUCGUCUCUGGCCAGAGGGAUCAAGGCCGAAUAGUUAUUUUGGUCUUGUGCAACAAUUACUUGGUGCUGUGCCGCAUCUUGACGUUGUAAACAGUUCGGCGUGCAUAGAGGGUCCGCGGAUGGCUCUUGCCCGUGUCAAGACAUACUGGCCGGAGAUGGAGGCCACCACGAUUGCAACCCAGAAUCCGACCGUUGGCCAGGUUUCUGCCGAGCACUAUUUGGAAGAAGUCCUAGAAGGCGCUCGUUUAAUAGAGGCUCAGUGCUCGAAGAGUAUCAUGUUCUAG
rnacentral:rRNA from 1 species